GUGCCAGCCGCCGCGGUAAAACGUAGGAGCCAAGCGUUAUCCGAAUUCACUGGGCGUAAAGCGCGAGCAGGCGGACCUGUAAGUGGAUUGUGAAAUCUCCCGGCUCAACUGGGAGAGGCCGGUCCAGACUGCGGGUCUAGAGGACGGUAGAGGGAGGUGGAAUUCCCGGUGUAGUGGUGAAAUGCGUAGAUAUCGGGAGGAACACCAGUGGCGAAAGCGGCCUCCUGGACCGUUGCUGACGCUGAGAUGCGAAAGCUAGGGGAGCAAACGGGAUUAGAUACCCCAGUAGUCC
rnacentral:rRNA from 1 species